UUUGAACGCUGGCGGCAUGCCUUACACAUGCAAGUCGAACGGCAGCACGGGAGCAAUCCUGGUGGCGAGCGGCGAACGGGUGAGUAAAGUAUCGGAACGUGCCCAGUCGGGGGGGAUAACGUAGCGAAAGUUACGCUAAUAUCGCAUACGAUCUAUGGAUGAAAGCGGGGGAUCCCAAGAACUCGCGCGAUUGGAGCGUCCGAUGACAGAUUAGAUAGUUGGGGGGGUAAAGGCUCACCAAGCCGACGAUCUGUAGCUGUUCUGCGAGGACGAGCACACACACUGGGACUGAGACACAGCCCAGACUCAGACGGGAGGCAGCAGUGGGGACUUUUGGACUAUGGGCGAAAGCCUGAUCCAGCCAUGCCGAGUGAAGGAUGAAGGCCUUCGGGUUGUAAACUGCUUUUGUACGGAACGAAAAGGUUUGGCCUAAUAAGCUGAGCUCAUGACGGUACCGUAAGAAUAAGCACCGGCUAACUACGUGCCAGCCGCCGCCGUAA
rnacentral:rRNA from 1 species